rnacentral:rRNA from 1 species
CUGCGACACGGUCCAGACUCCUACGGGAGGCAGCAGUUUGGAAUUUUGGACAAUGGGCGAAAGCCUGAUCCAGCGACGCCGCGUGGACGAUGAAGGCCUUCGGGUUGUAAAGUCCUUUUGCUCGGGAACAAUUUUUGAGCGUACCGAGAGAAUAAGAGGUUGCUAACUCUGUGCCAGCAGCAGCGGUAAUACAGAGACCUCAAGCGUUAUCCGGAAUCAUUGGGCGUAAAGCGUUCCGAUAGGUGGUUUUACAAGUCAGAAGUGAAAUCUCUCAGCUCAACUGGGAGACUGUCUUUUGAUACUGUAAAACUAGAGGGGCAAAGAGGAAGCUGGAACAAACGGUGUAGUAGUGAAAUGCGUUGAUAUCGUUUGGAACACCAAUAGCGUAGGCAGGCUUCUGGGUGCCACCUGACACUGCUAGGACGAAAGCGUGGGGAGCGAUAAGGAUUAGAUACCCUUGUAGUCCACGCUGUAAACGAUGCACAUUAGGUGCUAGGGAGUAUCGACCCUCCUUAGUACCAUAGCUAACGCGUUAAAUGUGCCGCCUGGGGAGUACGGCCGCAAGGCUAAAACUCAAAGGAAUGACGGAAGGCG